UUACGGCCAUAUCAUUUUGAAACACCGGUUCCCGUACAGUCACCGAAGUUAAGCAAAGUCGAGCUUGGUCAGUACCAAGAUGCGUGACUUCUUGUGAAUAGCAGGUGCUGUAAG